rnacentral:rRNA from 1 species
AUUGAACGCUGGCGGCAGGCUUAACACAUGCAAGUCGAGCGGAGUGAUGGUGCUUGCACUAUCACUUAGCGGCGGACGGAUGAGUAAUGCUUAGGAAUCUGCCUAUUAGUGCGGGACGACAUCUCGAAAGGGAUGCUAAUACCGCAUACGUCCUACGGGAGAAAGCAGGGGAUCACUUGUGACCUUGCGCUAAUAGAUGAGCCUAAGUCGGAUUAGCUAGUUGGUGGGGUAAAGGCCUACCAAGGCGACGAUCUGUAGCGGGUCUGAGAGGAUGAUCCGCCACACUGGGACUGAGACACGGCCCAGACUCCUACGGGAGGCAGCAGUGGGGAAUAUUGGACAAUGGGGGGAACCCUGAUCCAGCCGUGCCGCGUGUGUGAAGAAGGCCUUAUGGUUGUAAAGCACUUUAAGCGAGGAGGAGGCUCUUUUGGUUAAUACCCAAGAUGAGUGGACGUUACUCGCAGAAUAAGCACCGGCUAACUCUGUGCCAGCCGCCGCGGUAAAAC